rnacentral:rRNA from 1 species
GAGGAGCUUGCUCCUCUGAUUUAGCGGCGGACGGGUGAGUAACACGUGGGUAAUCUGCCUGUAAGACGGGGAUAACUCCGGGAAACCGGGGCUAAUACCGGAUAAUAAGAAGAAACGCAUGUUUCUUUUUUGAAAGUCGGUUUCGGCUGACACUUACAGAUGAGCCCGCGGCGCAUUAGCUAGUUGGUGAGGUAACGGCUCACCAAGGCGACGAUGCGUAGCCGACCUGAGAGGGUGAUCGGCCACACUGGGACUGAGACACGGCCCAGACUCCUACGGGAGGCAGCAGUAGGGAAUCUUCGGCAAUGGGCGAAAGCUGACCGAGCAACGCCGCGUGAGGAUGAAGGCCUUCGGGUCGUAAAGCUCUGUUGUUAGAGAAGAACAAGUACGAGAGUAACUGCUCGUACCUUGACGGUACCUAACCAGAAAGCCACGGCUAACUACGUGCCAGCAGCCGCGGUAAUACGUAGGUGGCAAGCGUUAUCCGGAAUUAUUGGGCGUAAAGCGCGCGCAGGCGGUCUCUUAAGUCUGAUGUGAAAGCCCACGGCUCAACCGUGGAGGGUCAUUGGAAACUGGGAGACUUGAGUGCAGGAGAGAAAAGUGGAAUUCCACGUGUAGCGGUGAAAUGCGUAGAGAUGUGGAGGAACACCAGUGGCGAA